rnacentral:rRNA from 1 species
GAUGAAUGCUGGCGGCGUGCCUAACACAUGCAAGUCGAGCGGCAGCGCGUUUUACACUUACUUCUGCAAGCUUCUGAGUAGUACAGAAGAUUUAUUCCAUAGUUUUCUGUUAAUUCUCGGCGAGCGACGUACGGCUGCUUAACGCGUAGGCAUAUGCCCCCAAGUGGGGAAUACCUGCCCGAAAGGGUCGCUAAUCCCGCGUAUGAUCUUCGGAUUAAUGCCUUCGUGCGCUUUGGGAGAAGCCUGCGUUGGAUUCGGUAGUUGGUAGGGUAAUGGCCUACCAAGGCGACGAUCCAUAGCUGGGCUGAGAGAAAGGUUCCAGAGACUGAAACUGAGACGCGGUCCAGAAUACUACGGGAGGGAGCAGAGAGGGAUCGACCAAAACCGGGGAAAGGAUGAAGGAGCAACGGCGGGAGAAGGAUGAAGGCGUUCGGGAAGUAAACUUCUUUUAUGAGUGAAGAAUAUGACGGUAACUAAUGAAUAAGCACCGGCUAACUACGUG